rnacentral:lncRNA from 1 species
GCUCCUCCUCCUCCGCUCCCGCCCCGGACCCCCUUUCGCUGCCCCUCUGCCCCACGGCCGCAGCAGCAGCGGCUCUCGGGCAGGGCGAGAAACCCCCCGGAGCCCCCGGCCAUGGGCUCAUGAUUCAAGGUUUGCUUUUUAGGUAGUACACUCCUUUGGAGAAUUUUGGGAAGGAAGGGAUUUACUCAAUUCAAAAGGAAUGGGACUGUUAAAUGAGAGACUCAUUGAAACUGCCUGAAGAGAUAGGUGUAGUACAUGUUAAAGGAUAUCAAGGUGGAAUGGUUUUACACAUAGUGGGAAUAAUUUGGCAGAUCAAAAGCUUAGCGAUCGAUGGAGCAGAAAAUGGGAGCAAGAGUUAUGUUAAUUCUGACCCUCGAUAAGAAAGUAUUGGAAAUGACAAGGUUUAGUGAAGUAAACUAAAAGGAAUUACAUAAAAUAGGUGGGAAGCAAGAUCAAUGUGGGAAAUGAAAACUUCAUGAUGGGAGGCAGUUUCUGAAUACAUCACUUAAGAGGAAAAUAUUCGAAGACAUGCAUCAAAAAACUCAUCGGGCUUUGUGGGAUCACUGUUAUGAAUGGGGUCUCAUAUGUCCAAUUUCAUAGAAUCAAAUACAAUGAAGUGGUUACAAAGAGUUAUUUGGCAAUAGUUCAGGUAAAGCAUAAGCGAAACCGAUCAGGGUAUGGGGAGGGCUUCUCACCCUGCCACCCGUACAAAAGAAUCCAAGCACAACUUUUAUACUGUAUGGUAAUACAUAUUCAUUAUUAGUUCCUCCUAUUUUCGAUUCUUGAAAUCUAUGUCACUACUGCAUGGCAUGUUCCCACUGUUGCUAUGGGGUCUUCUGGUCUCUUUGGGGGUCUUCUUGGAGGAAGGCUCGCUGUCCUCCUCGCUGUCCUCUGAGUGACCUGGCAGGUUGUGCAUGCACAUUUAACUUGUUGCAUUAUGUUCCAAUUAAGCCUUAUUAUUUCAUAGAUAAGACCACUAUUUUCAGGUCCCUAUCUGGAAUGGUCCCAGUUUUAUUCAUAUUUAAGGUCAAUCCAGCUCUGGGAGUUGUCUUUUAGCUUCAGUUGAUGCCAAGUUUGGUUUGGGGGUCAGUUCCUGACUUCCUCCAUUCCUAAGGCCGAAUCCAGCUCCUGCAUCCUGCUGCCCAAAUGUAUUCUUGAAGAAACCCAUCUGCUUUGUAACACUAAUCCCAUACACUUUUCCGAUUAUUUUCCCAAAUUAUUGAUAUAAUUACAACUUCAGCACAAAUCACAUCCAUUUAUCACACCACUUUUUAAGGAAUUAUGUGUGAAUUGGAAUUUUUGGAUUGGCAAAGCUAAUAACUGAGAAAUCUAUAACUUGCCAAAAAGUAAAUAAAAAGUAAUGAGAAGAACAGCAUUAGGAGGCCAUGAGUUAGCUCUGUGACUGUUUCAAAGUAUCAACUGGACUUUACUGACCUUCCCCAAGUGCAGAAGUGGAAGUUUUUAUUAAUAGUAAUAGACCAUUUGACUCUUUGGGUAAAAGCUGUUCCCACUGUCAGAGCUACAGCUAAUGUGGUAUGUAAAUCUUGGAACAAAUUAUUCCCAGGUAUGGAAGGCUUAAUAGAAUAGGCUCAGAUAGAGAAACCCAUUUCAUGUCAAAAGUCUUACAGCAAAUAACUCCAGCCUUGGGAAUAAAAUGGGAAUUACACACCCCAGGGCAUGCACAGAGUUUGGGCUGGGUAGAAAGGAUGAACCAGGCAUUAAAGAGAAAUUCAACCAAAUUAAUGAUUGAAACCUAAAUGUCGUGGGUAAAAUGUUCACCUUUGGCUCUGUUGAGGGUCCAAACACAACCCAGGUCAGGCCUAGGAGUGUCACCCUGUGAGAUGAUGUUUGGGUUACUCUUUCUGACUACCCAACAUGAAGCAGGGGAAAUGAGUGUUUGAAAAUGUGUCACAAGAAUUGCAAAAAUGCUUAAAAAUUUGCGGUUGGAAGGGAUAAUCCCUCAAACCACACCUUUAGAAUUUAAAAUCCAUAAUAUGCAUCCACGGGAAUGGGUACUAGUGAAAACAUGGAAAGAACAAUCUUUAACUCCACAGUGGGAAGGUUCCUUUCAGGUACUACUGACAAGUGAGGCAGUGAUCUGGACCAGGGAACAAGGAUGGAUUAAUGCCAGCAGAAUCAAAGGACCUGUGAAGGAACCUGAGGAAUGACUAUAACAUCUAAACUGAGUGAUACCAAAUUGACUCUCCAGUGGGAACCGGGUGGUAAUGAACUGAGAGGACCCAAAUGAUCCAAGGAAUGUACAAAGAAUCACACCUGACUGGGAAAUAAGGCUAAGCUUAUCUCAGUGGUUUCAAGUGACACCUGGACAAGUUCUGAGACACCUCCAUGGGGAGGAAUACUUCCACUUCUAACAGGAGGAUCAUGACUGUUUAGGUCAGAGAGUUCUCAUAUUCUGGCCUUAGCCUGUAACUUAGACAAAGAAGAGAAGGAAUUAGAACUUCCAUCAGUGCCAUACCAUAUACCCUGUUUGAUUCAUCCCAAUACUGGACAUGCUAGCUGGGUUAAAUGUAAAUGUUUAAAUUGUGGGGAAAAUUGGUAUUGUAGUUCACAAAAUUGACACUCUCGUUGCAGGAAAUGUCGAGCACCAAAAUUUAUCCUGUAUCCAGAUUGAACUGAAACAACUGAAAUAAUAACUUUGCUGUGUGGAUGGGAAUUAUUAGUGCCUGUUGAAUUGGAGAUACCUGAGAAACCACAGCUAAGGAGUGUCAAAACCAAUUUGCCUGGAAAUUAGUAAAAGGGAAGUGACAAGGGAAACAGAGAGCAAGCCUGGAUUGAGCACUGUACUCACCACUGGGAAGAUUGCACAUACCUGCUGUGGGUUGCAACCCCAUAGGAAUAUCCCCAUAGGUGGGGAUAUAAACCAUACCAAACUUCUGUUAUUCCUGUUUCUGUCAUUCAUUUGUUGUCUUUUCCCUUUCAGGAUACUGGCAAGAUUGUGUCACAAAUGCUACAGAAAGUAUUACAUGAAAAGAAACCAAAGUUCCUUUUUUGUUACACACACCCAUGUCAACAGCCACUGUAACAACACAUCCAAAUUAAGUACCUGCAGGCAAAAUGGGGAAAAAUAUUGGAUUACAAGGAACUUAGGAAAAAGUGGUAAUAAAUGGGGCAUUGAAUGUCCAAAAAGGUAGAGAUGGAUUUGUUUUACAUUUGACCUUAGGGGUGUACUUCAAGAUUCAGUAAAAGAACAGUUAGUAAAGAAAAAGGUAAAGCACAGCAAUGUAACUUUGUAUUGGCCCCAAAUUAUAUGCUGAAUUGUAUUAUAUGACUCCAAGCAGUUAUAGAGAUGAUAACAAACAAAGCUGCUCAGUCAUUGGAAUUAAUAUCAAGUCAGCAAAACCAAACAAAAACUGUGUUGUAUCAGAAUAGGUUGGCUUUAGAAUAUUUAUUGGCUAAAGAAGGGGGUGUUUGUGGAAAGUUUAAUUUAUCAGAUUGUUGAAAAUAGAUUACAAUGGGGAUUUCAUCCUGGAAAUAGCAAAAGAUAUCAGAAAAAUAACCCAGGUACUGGUCCAAAAUUGGGAACCAAUGUUAAAAACUAACUGGUGGGGUAAUGUAUUUGGGGAUGGUGGAAGAAAUUAGGUUUCUUCCUUUUAUGUGCUACAUCUGGUUUGAUAGUUCUUCCUUGUUUAAUCCUGUUUAAUUUGGCUAAUUACCAGCAUAGUCCAAAACAUACAUGUGGACAAGAAAUAUUGCUCAAGCCAAAUGAUUUAUAAAGAAUAAGAGGGCAGUUUGUUAUAGAUAUGUAUUAUAAUAUUGUAUUUUUGGCAAUAUUAAAAUAGAUUCUAUAUGUGUGGUUUUAAAGUAACUUUGCUAUAAAGGUACAGUUUUUAUUUCUGUUGUUAACUAAAACUUAUAUAAAACUGAUAUAAUAUGCUUGUGUUACAAUGCCUGCUUGGCUGGGAUAACAUCCAAGGAAUAUAUGAUGAAGACACCUGCUACAGAUAUGCAAACAAUCAACACUUGCCAUCAAUAGAAAGUGUGGACCAAGGCCCAAACUUGAAGGUUAUAUUAAAAAUGGACUAAAAGCACAACCAAGGAAUCCACAUUAUCCACAUGCUCUAAAAACACAGACCCGAAGAGGAGCUAUGCUAAACAGUUCUUGGAAUAUGCAAACUUGAUUUGGGAAAAGUUUACUAUACGUAAUUGUUUAUGAAUAUGGAACAGGUUGAUGCAGUAGAAAUGGUAUCUAAAGGAUGUUUCCAAAAUAGCAGGGGUGCUCUUGGCUGAGUGCCAAGAUAAUCUUUGUUUUGUCUUUGUCUCCUGUUGUCCUAUAUUAAACUUUUAAAUUUUCACAGGAGGAUAAACCUUGUUUUUCACACAGGGACAUCCUGGGGUCAUGAGGGGCUGUCUGAACACAGGGCUCUGGGAUAUGCUGGAGGGCACCAGGGAUUUCCCAAGGGGAUAGGAGGGCAGAGGGGACUGAAGGUCCUUCAGGAGCACCUGUGUGCCCAGGACUGCACUGUCCCCUUGCCCCCAGGGACACCCAGAGCCUCCCUGCCCAGGCAGUGGUCACUGGUGUGGGAAUCCUUAAAAUCAGAGGGUUUUGGGAAAGCUGCAAAAGGCAGGCCUCAGAGACAGCAGAACUGCAAUUCAAGUUAAACACUAGCCAUAAGAUUUGUCAGCAGAAAAAUUAUAUCAGAAGUAGAAAAGUAAGGACAAAUCAAACAAUGGUCAGUGUAUUAAUGCUUGGGUAGAAUAACUCCCUAAGUUCUAGAAAAGUAUAUCUAGCAAGGUAUUAGGAAGUUUUAAGCUGAAUAAUGGAGGUCUGUGCAUUUUAUUUUAAGGCUUACAACCAGUUAUUGUAUUGGAAAUAAGCAAGCAUUGUUUUAAGCAAAGGUACACGUGCUUAUAGCAGUUGGAUAGAAUUAUUGUCAAUAUGCUUUUGCUUUGUGUGAUUGGUCAAAAAGCUUUUAAAGUACGUUGUAACAUUAAGUUCUUUGUCUGCUGCCAGGGAUGUGAGCUGCUGGCAUCUUCACAUUGUCAUAACUAUGUAAUGAGAGUGAUGCUGGAAAAGAAACUGCUG